rnacentral:tRNA from 1 species
GCGUUGGUGGUAUAGUGGGGAGCAUAGCUGUCUUCCAAGCAGUUGACCUGGGUUCGAUUCCCAGCCAACGCA